UUUGAUGAAGACAGGAUGAAUGAAUUCAUACCAUCAGAUUCUGAUGAAACCUCAAUGAGUUUAAGUUCAGAUGAUUAUCCUAAGGAAAAAAAGUUCAAAGGGAAAAAAAGAACUAGUUCAGGUGGACAUGAUAAUGUAGAAGUAAUUAAAGUAUGGAAUUCAAAUCUGGAGGUGGUGGUGAAGGGCAGAAGGAUGAGCUGGCCAGCAUUUCAUCUAUGACCGUAAAAAAAGAAAAAAAGUGAGUCUAAUGUAGAAGUAAACUUUUGUAUUUAUGUAAGGAUCAAAAAAUGUUGGUAAUAUGAUGUCAGCUAUUUACUUAGGGUUAGGUGAAUUUCUUGGCAGGAGAAGCAGUGGGUUUAUUAUUGACAAAAUUUAAAGUCACGUUACAGUUUAAAUUAAGAUUUCAUCAUUUCAGAACCUACUAAGUCCGUAGUUUAGAUCAUUGAGAUUGAUAGGGUAUACAUUGACCUUUAAUUUUAAAAACAGAUUUGUUUUCUAUGUAAGUUGUGUAAAGAUUUCAUUAAAGAUUUUUUAAAUGUUAA